rnacentral:tRNA from 1 species
GCCCUCGUAGCUCAGCUGGAUUAGAGCAUGAGCCUUCUAAGCUCAGGGUCGCAGGUUCGAGUCCUGCCGGGGGCA